GUGCGGCGCUUACUGACGUUACCAGAAAAAUCGAUCCAAGAUGGCUACCCUCUCGAGUGACGUUGUAUGAAGCAACUUGUUGUGGAAGAAGUGCAGUGAGCAUCCCCCAAAACCAAGAUCAAUUAUUUUAGGCAGUCAGCAGUGAAUGUAUGGACACAGAAGACUUUGAUCUUUUUUGAAAACAGACCUACAUUGUCACCAGAGAGCAACUUUAUCUGACCAACUUACUCCAAAUAUUGAACAAGUCUGACCUUUCUGUGGUAAUCACACAUUUCAGAUGCAGGAACAUUAACUAUGUUAAGUUUAUAAGUAGUGAGCCUGAAGCACAAGGAAUUUUAGUGGUCAAAUGAUUCAAUGGAGUGGAAGUGCAAGUUGUGUGCUGUCACCUCAGACACCCGGGCCCAUUUAUUUAGGCACUACCGUUUACAGCAUAGUCAGUAUUCAAGAGUUAGCCCUUUGCCAUGUCUCCACAACUCUUGUAUUUGUUCAUUUGCAUCAUUUAAUGCAUUGAAAAUUCAUUUAUCACGUGUCCACAAAGACACAUGCAGAACUGGUGCAGGUGAAAGAGCACAACUAAGACAUACACUUUUUAACUGUCCAUUGUGUGACUUCAAACAGCCUUUCUCAAAGGCGACACUGUUCAGGCAUUUAAGGGGACAUUUAAAAAACCAUGAGAAUGUACCAUGCCCAUUUAAGGCCUGCAACUACCGCACAAAUGUCUAUUCAUCAUUUAAUGCACACAAAAGUAGGACACAUGAAAGCUGAAGUGAACUUCCUUCCAAACUUGCCCAAGGGAGAAAGUCAGGCCAGUUUGGAAGAAAUGAGACUGCAGAUUAUGGACGAAGUUCAGAAGAGUCAGCAAAACCUACGCUUGAUAGAAAAGCUAAAAUGGAAAGUGACAAAGAAGAUGAUUAUAGAAGUGGGGACAAAGUCUUGUAAAACAGGCCAAAAGCACACUGACAAAAGAGAUAAGAGAAAAGAUAGAGAGCAUUUCUAAGUUCAGUGGGAUACUGGAACCAAAAGGACACCUUCCUUUGAGAAAUAAUGGACUUCCUCCAGUACAGCAAACUCCCUAUACUGAGAUAAGAUCUACGUACAUCUCAUACCUCACCCUGCACCCCAAACUGUUCCUUUCCUCCCCUCUCACUCAACGCAGGACACCCAAAAGCUCACCUAAGGACCUUACACAAGAAAAAAACUCAACACAUACACAUGUUUGGUAUCAUCCAAAAGGUCUCAGUGCAAAAGGUUCAACUCAUUUUAUAGACUAUGACUCAAGCAUUUAUCAGAAACAAGAAUUAAAUUCAUCUUUAUCAUUCGUUGUGAUAUUAGUAAAAAAAAAAAAAUGUAAUGUUUGGGAAAAUAGUGCCAAAUUAUAAAAUCUGAAGACAGUCCUACACUGUAAACCCCAAUAAAUUCAUAGUACUCAAAACUUUUGCAGAAACUGAUUACAUAAUAACUUUUGAGGUAACUAACUUAAUUUUUUUAAGUUAGAUUUUUUUUAAAGUUACACUAUAAUCAAACUUAAAUAUUAAAAUUGUAUUUUUUUUAUUUUAAGUGCACCGUGCUUAAAAAUAUUGUUUAACACUCGCACAUUUUUAGUUUCUCCAUACUUAAUUAUUUUGAUCCAAUGGUACUUAUUUAAAUGGA